UACGUAGGUGGCAAGCGUUGUCCGGAUUUAUUGGGUUUAAAGGGUGCGUAGGCGGUCUUAUAAGUCAGUGGUGAAAUACGGCAGCUCAACUGUCGAGGUGCCAUUGAUACUGUAGGACUUGAGUACAGACGAGGUAGGCGGAAUUGACGGUGUAGCGGUGAAAUGCUUAGAUAUCGUCAAGAACACCGAUAGCGAAGGCAGCUUACUAGGCUGUAACUGACGCUGAGGCGCGAAAGCGUGGGGAGCAAACAGG
rnacentral:rRNA from 1 species